rnacentral:rRNA from 1 species
UACGUAGGGGGCAAGCGUUGUCCGGAUUUACUGGGCGUAAAGAGCGUGUAGGCGGCCAGGUAGGUCCGUUGUGAAAACUGGAGGCUUAACCUCCAGCUGUCGAUGGAAACCAUCUGGCUAGAGUCCGGAAGAGGAGAGUGGAAUUCCUGGUGUAGCGGUGAAAUGCGCAGAUAUCAGGAAGAACAACCCGUGGCGAAGGCGGCUCUCUGGGACGGUACUGACGCUGAGACGCGAAAGCG